CUCAAAUUCUAAAAAAAAUGGUGGUCGCUCAGAAAUUGAAGGAAACGGAGGUCACCGAACAGGAUUCACUUCUUCUGCUGAAGUAUUGUGGUUGAGUUAAACAACAUGUUAAUUACACCAUCAAAGAAGUCAUUAAUGAUGUUAGAGCAUAUGUGUAAUAAUUUGAAUGCACAUUAUUGCUGAAGCCUUGAAGACUCGAUGUGGAAUUCUUAAUUUACCGCUGAUAUAUUUGGUGUAUGAGUUCUGGUAGCUCACAAUAUUUUAUCGUAAAAAUAGA